rnacentral:rRNA from 1 species
GUCCUAGCUGUAAACGGUGGGCACUAGGUGUAGGAGGCAUCGACCCCUCCUGUGCCGUAGCUAACGCAUUAAGUGCCCCGCCUGGGGAGUACGACCGCAAGGUUGAAACUCAAAGGAAUUGACGGGGGCCCCGCACAAGCGGUGGAGCAUGUGGUUUAAUUCGAUGCAACGCGAAGAACCUUACCCAGGUUUGACAUGCAUUGGACAGGUGUGGAAACACACCCUCCCUUCGGGGCCGAUGCACAGGUGCUGCAUGGCUGUCGU